rnacentral:rRNA from 1 species
AUUGAACGCUGGCGGCAUGCCUUACACAUGCAAGUCGAACGGCAGCGGACCUUCGGGUGCCGGCGAGUGGCGAACGGGUGAGUAAUGUAUCGGAACGUACCUUUCAGUGGGGGAUAACGUAGCGAAAGUUACGCUAAUACCGCAUAUUCUGUGAGCAGGAAAGCAGGGGAUCGCAAGACCUUGCGCUGAUUGAGCGGCCGAUAUCAGAUUAGCUAGUUGGUGAGGUAAAGGCUCACCAAGGCGACGAUCUGUAGCGGGUCUGAGAGGAUGAUCCGCCACACUGGAACUGAGACACGGUCCAGACUCCUACGGGAGGCAGCAGUGGGGAAUUUUGGACAAUGGGGGCAACCCUGAUCCAGCCAUGCCGCGUGAGUGAAGAAGGCCUUCGGGUUGUAAAGCUCUUUCGGCCGGGAAGAAAUCGUAUCAGCUAAUACCUGGUGCGGAUGACGGUACCGGCAUAAGAAGCACCGGCUAACUACGUGCCAGCAGCCGCCGUAAUAC